rnacentral:rRNA from 1 species
CUCAGUUCAGAUUGCAGGCUGCAACUCGCCUGCAUGAAGUCGGAAUUGCUAGUAAUCGUAGGUCAGCAUACUACGGUGAAUACGUUCCCGGGCCUUGUACACACCGCCCGUCAAACCAUGAGAGUUGAGAAUACCCGAAGCCCAUGUCAAAGUGGUCGAAGGUAGGCUUGAUGAUUGGGGUGAAGUCGUAACAAGGUAAC